GUUAUAUGGUCAAGCGAAUAAGCGCACACGGUGGAUGCCUUGGCGGUCAGAGGCGAUGAAGGACGUGGCAGCCUGCGAAAAGUAUCGGGGAGCUGGCAACAAGCUUUGAUCCGGUAAUGUCCGAAUGGGGAAACCCACCCGCUUGCGGGUAUCCUGCAGUGAAUACAUAGCUGCUGGAAGCGAACCUGGUGAACUGAAAUAUCUAAGUAACCAGAGGAAAAGAAAUCAACCGAGAUUCCGUAAGUAGCGACGAGCGAACGCGGACUAGCCCUUAAGCUGGAUUGGUUCUAGGAAAACGCUCUGGAAAGAGCGGCCAUAGAAGGUGAUAGCCCUGUAUCUGAAAGGGCCAUUCCAGUGAAGACGAGUAGGGCGGGGCACGUGAAACCCUGUCUGAACAUGGGGGGACCAUCCUCCAAGGCUAAAUACUACUGACCGACCGAUAGUGAACCAGUACCGUGAGGGAAAGGCGAAAAGAACCCCGGAGAGGGGAGUGAAAUAGAACCUGAAACCGUGUGCGUACAAGCAGUAGGAGCUCCGCAAGGAGUGACUGCGUACCUUUUGUAUAAUGGGUCAGCGACUUACUGUUCGUGGCAAGCUUAACCGUAUAGGGGAGGCGAAGGGAAACCGAGUCUGAUAAGGGCGCAUAGUCGCGGGCAGUAGACCCGAAACCGGGUGAUCUAGUCAUGCCCAGGGUGAAGGUGCGGUAACACGCACUGGAGGCCCGAACCCACUCCCGUUGCAAAGGUAGGGGAUGAGGUGUGAUUAGGAGUGAAAAGCUAAUCGAACCCGGAGAUAGCUGGUUCUCCUCGAAAGCUAUUUAGGUAGCGCCUCAUAUGUAUCCUCUCGGGGGUAGAGCACUGUUAUGGCUAGGGGGUCAUCGCGACUUACCAAACCAUUGCAAACUCCGAAUACCGAGACGGACUGUAUGGGAGACACACGGCGGGUGCUAACGUCCGUCGUGAAAAGGGAAACAACCCAGACCCACAGCUAAGGUCCCAAAUUCACUGCUAAGUGGAAAACCAUGUGGAAAGGCACAGACAGCCAGGAGGUUGGCUUAGAAGCAGCCACCCUUUAAAGAAAGCGUAAUAGCUCACUGGUCGAGUCGGUCUGCGGGGAAGAUUUAACGGGGCUAAGCAGUGAACCGAAGCUUGGGGUGCAUACUUUGUAUGCGCGGUAGAGGAGCGUUCCGUAAGCCGUUGAAGGUGGAUUGAGAAGUCUGCUGGAGGUAUCGGAAGUGCGAAUGCUGACAUGAGUAACGAUAAUGCGGGUGAAAAACCCGCACGCCGAAAGCCCAAGGUUUCCUUGCGCAACGUUAAUCGGCGCAGGGUGAGUCGGCCCCUAAGGCGAGGACGAAAGUCGUAGUCGAUGGGAAGCAGGUUAAUAUUCCUGCACCUCGCGUAAGUGCGAUGGAGGGACGGAGAAGGUUAGGUGUACCAGGCGUUGGUUGUCCUGGGGAAAGGCGGUAGGUUUGGAUCUUUGGCAAAUCCGGGAUCCUCUAAGACCGAGCACCGAGACGAGCCUUUAUGGCGAAGUCACUGAUACCACGCUUCCAGGAAAAGCUCCUAAGCUUCAGCUUACGCAGACCGUACCGUAAACCGACACAGGUGGGUAGGAUGAGAAUUCUCAGGCGCUUGAGAGAACUCGGGUGAAGGAACUAGGCAACAUGGCACCGUAACUUCGGGAGAAGGUGCACCCUUUUUGGUGGCUCGUGCGAGCUAUAGCUGAAGAGGGUCGCAGUAACCAGGCCGCUGCGACUGUUUAUCAAAAACACAGCACUCUGCAAACACGAAAGUGGACGUAUAGGGUGUGACGCCUGCCCGGUGCUGGAAGGUUAAUUGAUGGGGUCAGCCGCAAGGCGAAGCUCUUGAUCGAAGCCCCAGUAAACGGCGGCCGUAACUAUAACGGUCCUAAGGUAGCGAAAUUCCUUGUCGGGUAAGUUCCGACCUGCACGAAUGGCGUAACGACAGCGGCGCUGUCUCCACCCGAGACUCAGUGAAAUUGAAAUCGCUGUGAAGAUGCAGCGUUCCCGUGGCAAGACGGAAAGACCCCGUGAACCUUUACUAUAGCUUUACACUGAACGUUGAGUUCGUCUGUGUAGGAUAGGUGGGAGGCUAUGAAACUGUGGCGCUAGCUGCAGCGGAGCCAUCCUUGAAAUACCACCCUGUCGUGCUUGACGUUCUAACCUGGGCCCAUUAUCUGGGUCGGGGACCGUGUAUGGUGGGUAGUUUGACUGGGGCGGUCUCCUCCUAAAGAGUAACGGAGGAGCUCGAAGGUACGCUCAGCGCGGUCGGACAUCGCGCACUGUGUGCAAAGGCAUAAGCGUGCUUGACUGCAAGAUCGACGGAUCAAGCAGGUAGGAAACUAGGACUUAGUGAUCCGGUGGUUCUGUAUGGAAGGGCCAUCGCUCAACGGAUAAAAGGUACUCCGGGGAUAACAGGCUGAUACCGCCCAAGAGUUCAUAUCGACGGCGGUGUUUGGCACCUCGAUGUCGGCUCAUCACAUCCUGGGGCUGUAGUCGGUCCCAAGGGUAUGGCUGUUCGCCAUUUAAAGUGGUACGCGAGCUGGGUUCAGAACGUCGUGAGACAGUUCGGUCCCUAUCUGCCAUGGGCGUUGGAGAUUUGAGAGGGGCUGCUCCUAGUACGAGAGGACCGGAGUGGACGAACCUCUGGUGUUCCGGUUGUCACGCCAGUGGCAUUGCCGGGUAGCUAUGUUCGGAAGCGAUAACCGCUGAAAGCAUCUAAGCGGGAAGCGCGCCUCAAGAUGAGAUCUCCCGGGGCACAAGCCCCCUGAAGGAACCAUGUAGACUACGUGGUUGAUAGGUCAGGUGUGUAAGUACAGCAAUGUAUUGAGCUAACUGAUACUAAUGAUCCGUGCGGCUUGACCAUAUAACCU
rnacentral:rRNA from 1 species